rfam:Brassica napus, WGS project CCCW01000000 data, contig: 7386
GAAAUUUAUAAGAACCCGUCUCUUAAUUUUUAACUAAAAAAACUAAGAAUCAGCUCUUAAAUAAAAGUUUUACGAGACGGUUCUUAGCUUUUUUAGUUAAAAGUUAAGAGACAGGUUCUUAUAUUUC